AUGUCAGAGAGAGGAUUCUGCUGCCGGUCCCACUCCAAAGUUUAUAAAAUGGGUGGUGGGCACAGAAUCCGGACUCUGCCUGUG
rnacentral:pre_miRNA from 1 species